AGUGGGGAAUAUUGCACAAUGGGGGAAACCCUGAUGCAGCAACGCCGCGUGAGCGAUGAAGGCUUUCGAGUCGUAAAGCUCUGUCCUAAGGGAAGAAUAAUGACGGUACCUUAGGAGGAAGCCCCGGCUAACUACGUGCCAGCAGCCGCGGUAAUACGUAGGGGGCAAGCGUUAUCCGGAAUCACUGGGCGUAAAGGGUGCGUAGGCGGCCAAUAAAGUCAGGGGUGAAAGGCUACGGCUUAACCGUAGUAAGCCUUUGAAACUUAUUGGCUUGAGUGCAGGAAAGGUAAGUGGAAUUCCUAGUGUAGCGGUGAAAUGCGUAGAUAUUAGGAGGAACACCAGUGGCGAAGGCGACUUACUGGACUGUAACUGACGCUGAGGCACGAAAGCGUGGGGAGCGAACAGGAUUAGAUACCCUGGUAGUCCACGCCGUAAACGAUGAGUGCUAGGUGUCGGAGCCGACAGGCUUCGGUGCCGCAGCUAACGCAUUAAGCACUCCGCCUGGGGAGUACGUUCGCAAGAAUG
rnacentral:rRNA from 1 species